GGGCCCUUAGCUCAGUCGGUAGAGCAACUGACUUUUAAUCAGUAGGUCGCUGGUUCGACUCCAGCAGGGCUCACCA
rnacentral:tRNA from 1 species